rnacentral:lncRNA from 1 species
GGAGAUUCUCACAGACGGGGCCAAUCUGACUGAGGCAGUUCUUCACUUGAGACUCUCUCCUUCUGGCUAUCACUAGAGGGAAGAACCAGGACAUUAAAAACAAUCAGAUCAAAACCAAAACCCAGCAGUGAAAAUCUCAACCCUACAGCUCGGUGUCUGGCAUCUGGGAUCCACACACAAUCUUCUGGGAUCCACUUCUGGC